AAGCAGCUGGGAAGGGGGGUUGAAUGUGACCAGGCUCCAGCCGCUCUUCUUCCUCUUCAGCAGGAAUGAUUAACCCACCACCUUUUGGUGCCUUCCCUUCCAAAAACCCUUCAAGAACAUCACAGCUCCCAAGGCUGCAGAGAGUUGCUGGUAAUCCUGUUAACCUUCGGGUUAAUUCAACAAACUGGAAGCCUUCAUUAGGAGAAGUGGCACUAAUUGCAGUAUCUCCAGGUCAGCUGGGUCUCCACCACACAGCUGCCAGCCUGGUGGCCCCUGGGGACAGCAGUGUCACCGCUGGAUAGGAGCACCUCUCCAGAAGCGACUGCUCCAAAGAAGUGGGCUGAGGUGCCUGUGUUGCAGCAUCCUCUUUCUGAAACCAGAGCAGCUGGGACCCGCCGUGUCGCAACGCGACGGAAGGAGGGAACGUGUGCCAAGCAUGCGUUUCAUGGAGGAGGCUUGGUGACUUCUGGAUGGUGAGGACAAAAGGCUGAGAGGCACUGGCCUUCCUGGUAGAGCUGCUCCUGCCUUCACGAGCCAGAGCAUUGACCUCUUACUUGGAAAAUCAACAAGAACUCCCAUCGCCGGGAAGAGUCGGCCCUUGAGGUUGAAUUCCAGCUUAAGUCGGGCAGAUACGUUCAGGUGGCCCCAGGAGGAGAUCUCUUUUUUGCCCAAAAACCAGGCUGGUUUUUGGCAUGGACCUAAGCAGAACUUGCAGGAGCACCUGUGUGUGUGUUUAGUGAGAAACUGUACGUUUUCUGACCCCCAGAAUUGGAACAGGCAUGCAGGGCCAGGUGUUGGUUGCACCAAGAUGUUUGUCCCUCCUGGACUCGCAGGUCACCCCAGAAUAUUUUGCCUUUUCCAUCCAAGGUUUCCCUUGGUGGUAGGUUCUCCUGUGAAAGGAGCAUCUUGGAGGCCUCCUGGGUGCUUUGGAGAUCAAGGUCUGAGGCUUCAGGCCCAGGUGGGAGAGAAGACACAGCACCAAUGUGCUUCUGCCACUGGGUACCUCCAAGGCAAGUCGUGUGCUGGAGGAGUUUCUUCUGCAGCAGGCUGGAGCAGUGGACCUUGGCAAAGCUGCUGAAGGAGCAGCCACAAGAUGGGCACACACCAGGAGGUGAAUGGCAACCCACUGUGGAGGCAAGUGGGGUUUGGUAGCAUCAAAAGGAGGCAGAGGAGCUGUUCUGUGUGUGGCUGGGGACUUUCCAGAUGUCUAGUGGCUGAACAUCUGGAAAUCCAGGAGGUCACUGGUAAAAGCUGGAGGACAACAGGGAAGCAGUGACAUCUAUUGCAAUCCAAGCCUCUUGCUUCACCCCUGGGUUUGCCCUGAAGCCAUCUGGGAGGGCAAGGGAAAGGUGUGGAGUGGAGACCACCCUUCACAUCCCAGCCACCCCCUUGGCAGAUAGAGGGUGCAGUGGGGAAGCAGGUUUGAGAUGGGAAGAGAGGAACAGCAGAAGGUCCAGCUGGAAAAGGCUGGGAAGCAGGUGGAGAAGGCAACGGGCUCCUCCAGCAACUGCUCUGCUUUUCCUCCUUCCUGUUUUCCAAACUUUCUUCUGUAUCUGUCUUGGGGCAAAAAAUCCAUCUGCCCUGGAUGGUGUUUGUAGCUACUUAGUUUGUGGAGUUAAGGUGUCCAGAUGUUGCCACCAUCAUGUGACAAAUAUCACAGAUCUCUCUGGUUUUUCAGUGACACUGCCACUUCUGGGCUCUUGGGGCAUCUGUUAGAAGAGGCAUCUUGGAACAAAAAACUAUGGAAGAACCAGGUGUGACCUCCUGUGAGCUUUUGUGACUCUCCCUUCCAUGGAUGGGGACAUUGCUAAGGCCACCCUGAGUGGAGCAAGGGUUGG